GCCUACAGCCAUACCACCCUGAACCCAAUCUCGUCGGAUCUUGGAAGCUAAGCAGGGUCAGGCCUGGUUAGUACUUGGAUGGGAGAAGUUUGUCCCAGGAAGUUACAUUGAAGGCAAGACCUGAGAGCU
rnacentral:rRNA from 1 species